rnacentral:lncRNA from 1 species
GCUUCUAAAUCGGGAAGAGUGACUCCUCCAACUUUGUUCUUCUUUUUCCAGAUUGUUUUGGUUCUUCUGGGUCCAUAUGAAUUUUAGGAUCAGCUUGUCAAUUUCUGCAGAAACCAGCUCUUGAUAUUCUCCUGGCCACACUGAUCACAGUGCUUUUGCUCUCCCUGGCCACAGGUGCUGAUAACCAGAUAGAAUGCUGUUCUUGUUGGGAAGUGUACUAGCACUGGAAGUGAAUGCAUUGUGAUAACCUAGGUUAGUGUCUCAUCUUCUAAUCUCUUAUUAACUCACCUCACUUUGCCAAAUUAUCU